rnacentral:rRNA from 1 species
AUUGAACGCUGGCGGCAUGCCUUACACAUGCAAGUCGAACGGCAGCAUGAUCUAGCUUGCUAGAUUGAUGGCGAGUGGCGAACGGGUGAGUAAUACAUCGGCACGUGCCCUGUAGUGGGGGAUAACUAGUCGAAAGAUUAGCUAAUACCGCAUACGACCUGAGGGUGAAAGUGGGGGACCGCAAGGCCUCAUGCUAUAGGAGCGUCCGCUGUCUGAUUAGCUAGUUGGUGAGGUAAAGGCUCACCAAGGCGACGAUCAGUAGCUGGUCUGAGAGGACGAUCAGCCACACUGGGACUGAGAAACGGCCCAGACUCCUACGGGAGGCAGCAGUGGGGAAUUUUGGACAAUGGGCGCAAGCCUGAGCCAGCAAUGCCGCGUGCAGGAAGAAGGCCUUCGGGUUGUAAACUGCUUUUGUCCGGAACGAAACGGUCUGGGUUAAUACCCUGGGCUAAUGACGGUACCGUAAGAAUAAGCACCGGCUAACUACGUGCCAGCAGCCGCCGUAACAC